rnacentral:rRNA from 1 species
UACGAAGGGGGCUAGCGUUGUUCGGAAUCACUGGGCGUAAAGGGCGCGUAGGCGGCUUGAUAAGUCGGGGGUGAAAGCCUGUGGCUCAACCACAGAAUUGCCUUCGAUACUGUCGAGCUUGAGACCGGAAGAGGCGAGUGGAAUUCCCGGUGUAGCGGUGAAAUGCGCAGAUAUCGGGAGGAACACCAAUGGCGAAGGCAGCUCGCUGGGACGGUACUGACGCUGAGACGCGAAAGCGUGGGGAGCAAACAGG